CCUACGGGAGGCAGCAGUGGGGAAUAUUGGACAAUGGGCGAAAGCCUGAUCCAGCCAUGCCGCGUGUGUGAAGAAGGCCUUCGGGUUGUAAAGCACUUUCAGUGGGGAAGAAAGCCUUGGGGCUAAUACCCUCGAGGAAGGACAUCACCCACAGAAGAAGCACCGGCUAACUCCGUGCCAGCAGCCGCGGUAAUACGGAGGGUGCGAGCGUUAAUCGGAAUUACUGGGCGUAAAGCGCGCGUAGGCGGUCUGAUAAGCCGGUUGUGAAAGCCCCGGGCUCAACCUGGGAACGGCAUCCGGAACUGUCAGGCUAGAGGGCAGGAGAGGAAGGUAGAAUUCCCGGUGUAGCGGUGAAAUGCGUAGAGAUCGGGAGGAAUACCAGUGGCGAAGGCGGCCUUCUGGACUGACACUGACGCUGAGGUGCGAAAGCGUGGGUAGCAAACAGGAUUAGAUACCCUAGUAGUC
rnacentral:rRNA from 1 species